rnacentral:misc_RNA from 1 species
UCCAAAUCCAGGCCGCCUCCUCCUCGGGGCUUGAGGUCUUGCCCGUUCAUGUCCACGACGGAGGAGGAGUCGGAGUCGCUCUGAACACCGCCGCUGGCGAACUCGCGCCGGAAAUCACUCAUCGCUUCGCGAAGAUGGUCGAAACGUAGCUGUUGGUGAGGAUGGCGAGGAUGACUCUUGAUCAUCCCGGCACGAAGAGCGGCAUCGAAAUACAGAACAUGAUUCGACUGCGGUAUGCCGCGUGUAAAAACUUCUCCGAUCACGGGAAUUUGGUACCGCUGAAAUGGAAAACUGAUGGGUCCAGCGGUCGUGAGACCGCCAAUACCGUGACCGAGAUUGAGAUUUAAAGGCGAGGAAUCAACCAUCAGAGCUUGCUCCCGGCUCGAGGACUCAACCGUGCUACUCUGACUCGGGCUCUGAUUAUUGUUGAUGUUGUUAAUCUUAUUGUUAAGGUUAAGAAGCUGAUCGUCGGAAGGCAAAGGGAAAUUGGUCUUGGCCUUGACGCCGCGGAACUCUCUUGCGGCGUUAUCGUAGGCUCGUGCCGCCUCCUCCGCCGUAUCAAAGGUUCCAAGCCAAACACGGCUCUUCUUACAAGGAUCUCUGAUCUCAGCGGCGUAUCUCCCCCAUGGUCGCUUCCUCACUCCUCUAAAAUGCACUUCCUUGACGUUACCGACGUUGGGCUUGACGGCAACCGCCUUCUCCCUCGGCGCCAUUAAUCCCAAAAUCCAGAUCAAAUCAAAUAAAAUGAAACAAGGGGUGGACCUCCGUCAGCGUUGGAUUCUUCCACCUCGGGAAAAAUGAUAUCCGCUUAAUUUUUCGAAUUUCUUCUUUUCUUCUGGGUAUUGGGUGAGAGAGAGAUGGAGAAAAG